GGGUAAUGAGGCAUAAAGGUCUGCUGUCUAGAGAGUCAGUCCAGCCCUAAUAGAGGGAGACCCAAAGAGAAGAAGUGUCAUUUGGUGAAGAGCAAGGAACAGACAGCCCAGGGAGCCAAUUACCGGAGCCAGAAGAGGAUGCUCAGCCUAGCAGGGAGACCACAGUCAGGAUGGCAAGAGCCUGCGACAUUGUGGGGAGGUUGUUUCUGCCUCUAAGAUGCAAAGUGACCCAUGACCCAGCCCUGUCUUUUUAGGUAGCAAUUCUUGGCAAUAUUCUUUUCUAAAUACCUCUUGCAGCCAGCCCCUCCUCU
rnacentral:lncRNA from 1 species